AAGGAAAUAAGAUCCCUUAUAGACGAUAAGGUAGAUAGGUUCAAGGUGUAAGUGCGGUAACGCAUUCAGCUGAUGAAUACUAAUAGAUCGAAGGUUUAUUCU
rnacentral:rRNA from 2 species